AGUGAACGCUGGCGGUAGGCCUAACACAUGCAAGUCGACGGCAGCACAGUAAGAGCUUGCUCUUACGGGUGGCGAGUGGCGGACGGGUGAGGAAUACAUCGGAAUCUACUUUUUCGUGGGGGAUAACGUAGGGAAACUUACGCUAAUACCGCAUACGACCUACGGGUGAAAGCAGGGGAUCUUCGGACCUUGCGCGAUUGAAUGAGCCGAUGUCGGAUUAGCUAGUUGGCGGGGUAAAGGCCCACCAAGGCGACGAUCCGUAGCUGGUCUGAGAGGAUGAUCAGCCACACUGGAACUGAGACACGGUCCAGACUCCUACGGGAGGCAGCAGUGGGGAAUAUUGGACAAUGGGCGCAAGCCUGAUCCAGCCAUACCGCGUGGGUGAAGAAGGCCUUCGGGUUGUAAAGCCCUUUUGUUGGGAAAGAAAAGCAGCAGGUUAAUACCCCGCUGUUCUGACGGUACCCAAAGAAUAAGCACCGGCUAACUUCGUG
rnacentral:rRNA from 1 species